rnacentral:rRNA from 1 species
AGUGAACGCUGGCGGUAGGCCUAACACAUGCAAGUCGAACGGCAGCACAGUAAGAGCUUGCUCUUACGGGUGGCGAGUGGCGGACGGGUGAGGAAUACAUCGGAAUCUACUUUUUCGUGGGGGGUAACGUAGGGAAACUUACGCUAAUACCGCAUACGACCUACGGGUGAAAGCAGGGGAUCUUCGGACCUUGCGCGAUUGAAUGAGCCGAUGUCGGAUUAGCUAGUUGGCGGGGUAAAGGCCCACCAAGGCGACGAUCCGUAGCUGGUCUGAGAGGAUGAUCGGCCACACUGGAACUGAGACACGGCCCAGACUCCUACGGGAGGCAGCAGUGGGGAAUAUUGGACAAUGGGCGCAAGCCUGAUCCAGCCAUACCGCGUGGGUGAAGAAGGCCUUCGGGUGGUAAAGCCCUUUUGUUGGGAAAGAAAAGCAGCAGGUUAAGACCCCGCUGUUCUGACGGUACCCAAAGAAUAAGCACCGGCUAACUUCGU